CGUGGGGGAGGAAGGCCUUCUGGGUCGCAAACCCCUUUUCUCAGGGAAGAAGCUCUGACGGUACCUGAGGAAUCAGCCUCGGCUAACUCCGUGCCAGCAGCCGCGGUAAUACGGAGGAGGCAAGCGUUAUCCGGAAUUAUUGGGCGUAAAGCGUCCGCAGGUGGCUUUUCAAGUCUGCUGUCAAAGCCCGAAGCUCAACUUCGGAGAGGCAGUGGAAACUGGGAAGCUAGAGAACGGUAGGGGUAGAGGGAAUUCCCAGUGUAGCGGUGAAAUGCGUAGAGAUUGGGAAGAACACCGGUGGCGAAAGCGCUCUACUGGGCCGUAUCUGACACUCAGGGACGAAAGCUAGGGUAGCGAAUGGGAUUAGAUACCCCAGUAGUCCUAGCUGUAAACGAUGGAAACUAGGCGUGGCUUGUAUCGACCCGAGCCGUGCCGAAGCUAACGCGUUAAGUUUCCCGCCUGGGGAGUACGCACGCAAGUGUGAAACUCAAAGGAAUUGACGGGGGCCCGCACAAGCGGUGGAGUAUGUGGUUUAAUUCGAUGCAACGCGAAGAACCUUACCAGGACUUGACAUGUCGCGAAUUCCGGUGAAAGCUGGAAAUGCCUUCGGGAACGCGAGCACAGGUGGUGCAUGGCUGUCGUCAGCUCGUGUCGUGAGAUGUUGGGUUAAGUCCCGCAACGAGCGCAACCCUCGUCCUUAGUUGCCAGCAUUAAGUUGGGCACUCUAGGGAGACUGCCGGUGACAAACCGGAGGAAGGUGGGGAUGACGUCAAGUCAGCAUGCCCCUUACGUCCUGGGCGACACACGUACUACAAUGGUCGAGACAAAGGGCAGCAACUCCGCAAGGACAAGCGAAUCUCAUCAAACUCGGCCUCAGUUCAGAUUGCCGGCUGCAACUCGCCGGCAUGAAGGAGGAAUCGCUAGCAAUCGCAGGUCAGCAUACUGCGGUGAAUCCGUUCCCGGGCCUUGUACACACCGCCCGUCACACCAUGGAAGCUGGCCACGCCCGAAGUCGUUACCCUAACCGUUCGCGGAGGGGGAUGCCGAAGGCAGGGCUAGUGACUGGGGUGAAGUCGUAACAAGGUAGCCGUACCGGAAGGUGUGGCUGGAUCACCUCCUUU
rnacentral:rRNA from 2 species